ACCAGCUUUAAUGAAUACCCGGUACAUGGCAGGGACGGACCUAGACAAAAAAAUCGGGGGGGCAGACAUGACAUUUUGCCAACUCAACUGUAAAAAUUUCCUCAAACGGGUAGUAUCUAUUAAGCAUUAAGUGGUAUUUCCAAGUCUAAUAAAUCAUGUAGAAAAUAUCUUGCCCCCCCUUGUCCGUCGCUGGUACAUGGGUGAACUCCACCGGACACUUCUUUACGAAAAACUGUGGCUUCCGGACCUAUUUACUUCUCCUCUAGGAGUGGGAAAUAGAAGUACUUUAAUUUGAUUCGCCGAUAGGGAAACCGAGAUGCCUAUCUUCUUCGCCAGUGACCGACCUUCCGAACUCUGGAAUUGACCGUCUGUCUCCAACUGGCUUGCCUAAGGUUUCCGAAUUUCCGACACCGCAACCGACCGUCCUUGACCAGGAACAAGGAUUGACCAACUCCUGGUAGCGCUUGAGAUUCCGAGUACACACUACAGUCACCGAAAUAUCCGCCGUGACAGCUAAAAUCAAACAGAUUAUAUACCUUAUUAGGGGUACUAUCGCAGAAAUGUUAGUUUGCAAUAAUUUGUUAUUUUAUUGGUUUAAGUAGGUUAAAUUUAAAAAGAAGGAAUUAAGUUAUUACGGUGAUGUUGCAAGCUUUCAAUUAGAAAAAUAAGUUUUAUAUUUCCUAAAUCCUAUGUGUUUUAAUAAAACAUCUGGGGGAGGUUAAUUGUGAA